rnacentral:tRNA from 1 species
UCCGGAAUGGUGUAGUGGCUAGCAUUUCUGCCUCUCAAUACAGAUACGCAGGAGACCGGGGUUCAAUUCCCCGUUUCGGAA